GAUCAGGUGGUUCCAGCAUGCUCGGCAGGUGCUUCCGGUGUCUCUGGCAUGUGCUUCUGGCACGUCUGAGAGGUGGUUCCAGCAUGCCCAGCAGGUGAUUCCGGAAAGUCCGCCAAGUGGUUCCGGCCUACCCGGCAGGUGGCUCAGGCAUGUCCGGCAGGUGGUUCUGGGGAGUGGAUCAGGUGGUUCCGGCAUGCUCGGCAGGUGCUUCCAGCAUCUCCGGCAUGUGCUUCUGGCACGUCUGAGAGAUGGUUCCGGCAUGCUCGGCAGGUGAUUCCGGAGUGUUAGCCAAGUGGUUCUGGCGUAUCCGGCAGGUGAUUUUUACGUGUCCGGCACAUGGUUCUGUGGAGUGAAUCAGGUGGUUCUGGCAUGCUCAGCAGGUGCUUCCGGCGUCUCCGGUAUGUGGUUCUGGCACGUUUGAGAGAUGGUUCCAGCAUGCCCGGCAGGUGAUUCCGGAGUGUCCGACAAGUGGUUCUGGUGUAGCCUGCUGGGGAUUUUGGGGUUUCUGGCAGGUGGUUCUGGCGAGUCGAGCAGCUGGUUCCUGCGUGUCAGCUGUUGGUUCAGGCGGGUCCGGCAAGUGGUUUCCGUCUGUCCGGGAUUUGGUUUCGGUGUCUCAGGCACAUGGUUCUGGCACGUCUUAGACGUGGUUCCGGCAUGCCCGGCAGGUGAUCGCGGAGAGUCUGACAUGUGGUUCCGGCAUAGCCGGCUGGUGAUUUUGGCGUGUCCGGCAGCUGGUUCUGGCGAGUCGAGCAGGUGGUUCCGGCGAGCUUGGCAGGUGGUUCUGGCAUGUCCGGCACAUGGUUCUGGCACGUUUGAGAGGUGGUUACGGCAUGCCCCAUAGGUGAUUCCAGAGUGUAUGGCAAGUGGCUCUGGCGUAGCUGCAGGUGAUUUUGGCGUGUCCGGCAGGUGGUUCUGGCGAGUCGAGCAGGUGGUUCCGGCGAGCUCGGCAGGUGCUUCCAGCAUCUCUGGCACGAGGUUCUGGCACGUCUAGAGAUGGUUCCGGCAUGCCCGGCAGGUGAUUACGGAGUGUCCGACAAGUGGUUCUGGUGCAGCCAGCAGGUGAUUUUGGCUGUCCGGUAGGUGGGUCCUGCGAGUCGAGCAGGUGGUUCCGGCGUGCUUGGCAGGUGGUUCCAGCGUGUCUGGCAGGUGGUUCCAGAAUGUCCAGGACGUGGUUCUGGAAUGCCCGGCAGGUGAUUCCGGACUGUCCUCCAUGUGGUUCUGGCAUAGCUGGCAGGUGAUCUUGGCGUGUCUGGCAGGUGGUUCUGGCGAGUCAAGCAGGUGGUUCCGGCGUACUCAGCAGGUGGUUCAGGCAGGUCCGGCAGGUGGCUGUGGCGAGGCGAGCAGGUGGGUCCAGCGUGCUCAGCAGGUGAAUCCAGCGUGUUCAGCAGGUGGUUCCGGUCAGUCCGGGAUAUGGUUCCGGCGUAUCCGGCACGUGGUCCUGGCACGUCUGAGAGGUGUUUCCGGCAUGCCUGGCAGGUGAUUCCGGAGUGUCCGCCAAGUGGUUCUGGCAUAGCCGGCAGGUGAUUUUGGUGGGUCUGGCAAGUGGUUCUGGCAGGUUGAGCAGUUGGUUCAGGCGUGCUCGGCAAGUGGUUCAGGCGUGUCCGGCAGGUCGUUUCAGUCUGUCCAUUAGGUGGUUCCGGCAUGUCCUGCAUGUGGUUCUGGCACGUCUGAUAUGUGGUUCCAGCAUGCCCGGAAGGUGAUUCAGGAGUGUCAGCCAUGUGGUUCUGGCCUAGCCGGCAGGUGAUUUUGGCAUAUACGGCAGGUGGUUCCGGUGAUUCGAGCAUAUGGUUCCGGCGUGCUCGGCACGUGAUUCAGGCGUGCCCGGCAGGUGGUUCCAAUCACUCUGGGAGGUGGUUCCAGCGUGUCCGGCACGUGUUUCCGGCACGCAUGAGAGGUGGUUCUUUCAUGCCCGACAGGUGAUUCCAGAGAGUCCGGCAAGUGGUUCUGGCGUAGCCGGCUGGUGAUUUUGGCAUGUCCGGCAGGUGGUUCCGGGGAGUCGAGUGGUUGUUCCAGCAUGCUCGGCAAGUGGAUCCAGCGGGUCCAGCAGGUGGUUCUGGUCUGUCCGGAAGGUGGUUCCGGCAUGUUGGACACAUGGUUCUGGCACGUCUGAGAGGUGGUUCCGGCAUGCCCAGCAGGUGAUUCCGGAGUGUCCGAAAAGUGGUUCUGGUGCAGCCGGCAGGUGAUUUUGGCAUGUCCGGUAGGGGGUCCUGCGAGUCGAAUAGGUGGUUCCGGCGUGCUCGGCAGGUGGUUCCGGCGUGUCUGGCAGGUGGUUCUGGCAUAGCCGGCAGGUGAUUUUUGCGUGUCCGGCUGGUGGUUCUGUGGAGUGGAUCAUGUGGUUCCGGCAUGCUCAGCAGGUGCUACCGGCGUCUCCGGUAUGUGGUUCUGGGACAUUUUAGAGGUGGUUCCAUCAUGCCUGGCAGGUGAUUCCGGAGUGUCUGACAAGUGGUCCUGGCGUAGCCUGCUGGUGAUUUUGGGGUGUCCAGCAGGUGGUUCCUGUGAGUCGAGCAGGUGGUUCCUGCGUGCCGGCAGGUGGUUCCAGCAGGUCCGGCAGGUGGUUUCCGUCUGUCUGGGAUUUGGUUUCGACGUCUCAGGCACAUGGUUCCGGCACGUCUGAGAGGUGGUUCCGGCAUGCCCGGCAGGUGAUCGCGGAGAGUCCGACAUGUGGUUCUGGCGUAGCCUGCUGGUGAUUUUGGUGUGUCCGGUAGGUCGUUCUUGCGAGUUGAGCAGGUGGUUCCGGCAUGCUCGGCAGGUGAUUCCGGGGUGUCCGGCAUGUGGUUCUGGUCUUUCCGGGAGGUGGUUCCGGCAUGUGCGGCACGUGGUUCUGGCAUGUCUGAGAGGUGGUUCCGGCAUGCCCGGCAGGUGAUCGCGGAGAGUCUGACAAGUGGUUCUGGCGUGUCCAGCUGGUGAUUUUGGCGUGUCCAGCAGGUGGUUCUGGCACGUCAGAGAGGUUGCGCCGGCAUGCCCGGCACGUGAUUCCGGCUUGUCCGCCGAGUGUUUCUGGUGUAUCCGGCAGGCGAUUUUGGCGUGUCCGGCAGGUGGUUCAGGGGAGUGGAUCAGGUGGUUCCCUCAUGCCCGGCAGGUGAUUCUGGAGUGUCCCACAAUUGGUUCUGGCGUAGUCGGCUGCUGAUUUUGACGUGUGCGGCAGGUGGUUCCGGCGAAUCGAGCAGGUCGUUUCGGAGUGCUCGGCACGUUGUUCCAGCGUGUCCGGCAGGUGUUUCCGGUCAGUCCGGGAGGUGAUUCCGGCGUGUAUGGCAAGUGGCUCUGGCGUAGCUGCAAGUGAUUUUGGCGUGUCCGGUAGGUGGUUCUGGUGCAGCUGGCAGGUGAUUUUGGCUGUCCGGUAGGGAGGUCCUGCGAGUCGAGCAUGUGGCUCUGGCAUGCUCGGCAGGUUGUUCCGGCGUGUCCAGCAGGUGGUUACAGUCUGUCCAGGACCUGGUUCCGGAAUGCCCAGCAGGUGAUUCCAGACUGUCCUCCACGUGGUUCUGGCAUAGCCGGCAGGUGAUUUUGGCAUGUCUGGCAGGUGGUUCCGGUGAGUCAAGCAGGUGGCUCCGGCGUGCUCGGCAGGUGGAUCCGGCAUGUUCGGCAGGUGGUUCCGGUCUGUCUGGUACGUGGUUCCGGCGUGUCCGGCACGUGGUUCUGGCAAGUUUGAGAGGUGGUUCUGGCAUGCCAGAAAGGUGAUUCCAGAGUGUCCGGCAAGUGAUUCUGGUGUAGCCUGCAGGUGAUUUUGGCGUGUCUGGCAGGUGAUUCCAGCGAGUCGUGCAGGUGGAUCCCGCGAGCACGGCAGGUGCUUCCGGCGUGACUAGCACGUGGUUAAGAACAUCUGAGAGGUGGUUCCGACAUGGCUGACAGGUGAUUCCUGAGUGUCCGACAAGUGGUUCUGGCGCAGCCACCAGGUGAUUUUGGCGUGUCCGGCAGGUGGUUCCAGCGAGUCAAGCAGGUGGUUCUGGCAUAGCCGGCAGGUGAUUUUGGUGUGUCUGGCAGGUGGUUCUGGGGAGUCGAGCAGGUGGUUUCCGGGGCACCCCACGUGGAGCCAGGACCCUGGAACUGCCAAGCUGAAUCCCUCCUCCUGGAAAACCAAAGGGAAAGGGGAGGAGUGGGUGGAAAGAAA
rnacentral:lncRNA from 1 species